UGUGGGAGCUGGCUUGCCUGCGAUUGCGCAGUGUCAGUCGAUUAAGUGUUGACUGGCCCACCGCUAUCGCAGGCAAGCCAGCUCCCACA
rnacentral:misc_RNA from 1 species